AAUACUUCCGCACAUUUGUAACCUAUUUUACAGAUUCAACGUAGGUAACAAACACCCCUAAUUUGCUAUUUCAUUCUAGGCUCUGUGAUAAUGCACUUAAAAACUCAUAAACACAUGCACAAAUUAUAGGGUAACGUUAACAGACAUUUUGUUUUGUAAAUAAUGGAAAUGAAUGGAGGACACACAUAAUACGUAGGCUACUCACCGUAAGUUUUUCUUCAGAGGCUUAAAGUGCUGCGAGAGGUUUUUUUUUAUAUUAUUUUAUAUUAAAAUGUUAUAUUAGAUAAUAAACAGAAGCAUACAAUAGGAAAACUUGAAUAUUUUAAUGAUUAAUUUAAUUAGCUGAUAGUGCAUUUAUACGUUAAGGUACGUGAUAUGUGGAUUAUCAUAAAGAUAUUCUGUUAUUGUACUACUCAAAUUCUCUUUCAUAGGGUAACCUACAUUACAAAACAAAUACAUUUAAUAGUAGCCUAUUGUAUGUAAUAAUAUAGUAUCUUUAUGUAGUGGGAUUGCCCCUUUAAUAAUAGUCUGCAUGGCCCCUUUAAAAAUGGCGCACUGAUUGCAUAAGGUGGUUGGGUACGUCAGGUAAUCACGUAGCUAUAUAGACACAGGUGAGAUGUAGUUUCCUCAUGACUUUGUAUCUAUGUGACCUGUUUGCGUAGGUCUUGUAUCUCCUUCACUCCUCGGUAAAGAUUAGUCGGUUACGUUCGGGGAUUGUUUGUGAGCAUGUGAGUGUUAUGCACGUCAAAGAAGUUGCUAGCUGAUGCUUUGUUGUGGCUUAAAUGCCGUUUCCAGUUUUGGGACGCAGAAUUUUUGUGCGCACGCGAUUGCACUGAACGUCUUCGCUGUCGCCUGUAUAACAUUCGCGUUGGAUGCGCUGUAAGACCGUGGCCUUUGAUUCUGGCGCCACCUGGUGUUCGCUGGUAACUCCAUCGUGUUUGUUUGUUGUGUAUUUUGUUUAAAGGGUUAGUUCACCCAAAUAUUAAAAUUAUGUUAUUAAUGACUCACCCUCAUGUCGUUCCAAACCCGUAAGACC